rnacentral:rRNA from 1 species
CCCUGGGCUCAACCCAGGAAGUGCAUUGGAUACUGGGAAACUUGAAUACGGGAGAGGGUAGUGGAAUUCCUACUGCACGAGUGAAAUCCGUAGAUAUUAGGAGGACCACCGGUGGCGAAUGCGGCUACCUGGACCGAUUUUGACUCUGAGACGCGAAAGCGUGGGGAGCAAACCGGAUUAAAUACCCUGUUCAGUCCACGCCGUAAACGAUGAGAACUAGGUGUCGCGGGUAAAUCACUACU